GCCCCGCCCCCCCACGCCGGGUCGCACGUCCUGGGGGCCGGAGCAGCACCACGUUCGCUGGCUGCCGAGGGCUUUGGCAGGAGCCCGGGUGGAGGGCGGUUCGGAGCAGAAGGUGCGGGCAGGACGUGUCCCCGGCUCUGCUGACGGGCCUGGAAGACGCGCCUCGGUCGCCCCGGGCACCCCAGGUUCCGUCUGGACUUGAGAUGGAAGAGGCGACGUGACUUGAGAGCAACGGGCUGUCGCGUGGCAGACGUCAGAGCGAGUGUCAAAAUUCCGCUUAGGACUCUUGUGCCCAGCUCCCCGCAAAACUGCGGGGUCAUUUUUCUUUCCUGCAAAGUAUUUUUUUAAUGUUUAUUGAUUGGGGGGGGAGGGGCAGAGGGAGAGAGAGGGAAUCCCAAGCAGGCUCCGCGCUGUCGGCAGAAAGCCCUGUGUGGGGCUUGAACUCGUGAACCGGGAGGUCGUGACCGGAGCCGACUGAGCCACCCAGGCGCCCCAAGCAGCCUCAUUUUUAAGGGAAUUUUUAGGAGAGCGAACCUUGUUUCCUCACCCUCCUAGGGUCCCUGGCUGGGGACAGUUACACCGGCAAAGACCGAUGAGCAGGAGAAAGGUACACAGGUGUGUUCAGUACAAGUUUCACACGGCACGGGGGCGUAAGGAAAUGCAGCCCUGAAUAUUUCCUGUGGGAUUUGACAUGACCGGCAGCCGUGGGGAGCACG